rnacentral:rRNA from 1 species
CCCCUAGAUGUUCUGGGCCGCACGCGCGCUACACUGAACAGUUCAACAAGUCUUAACCUUGGCCGAUAGGUCUGGGUAAUCUUUGAACGCUGUUCGUGAUUGGGAUAGACCUUUGCAAUUAUGGGUCUUCAACGAGGAAUUCCUAGUAAACGCAAGUCAUCAGCUUGCAUUGAUUACGUCCCUGCCCUUUGUACACACCGCCCGUCGCACCUACCGAUUGAAUGGUCCGGUGAAAUCUCGGGACGGCGGCUUGGUCGCUUGCCUCCGACUGCUGAAACUUGAUUAAACCAUAUCAUUUAGAGGAAGGUGAAGUCGUAACA